CGCGGAGCUGGUACCCUGCAGUCUCCUGCUAGCGGGCGGGGGUGGCUUGUGAGGGCGCCGUGGCCGGUUCAUGGCGCGGGCGGUACCGGCCUCUGCAGGUGACGGAGGCACAGCGAGGGCCGCCCCGGCGUAGAGUUCCAAAAGAUGAGUCAUGGAUAUUCAGAAAACAACAAUUUCCUAAACAAUAACAACCAAAUGGUGUUGGACAUGAUCCUUUACCCAUUAAUUGGAAUCCACCAGACCAUCAACUGGGAAUCAGUGGCAAGGCUUGUGCCUGGAUUAACACCCAAAGAGUGUGCAAAGAGGUUUGAUGAACUGAAGAACAGUGGAAGCUCACCUGUGGACAACCACUGUAGUCCCCUCAUGGCUGCUGGAGAGAGUCCUGUUGAAACUUUAGCCACGUAUAUCAAAUCCUCGCUUCUUGGCACACAAAGAGAAUUUCAGGAGACUCCAGUUGGUCAGGAUGCAGUUUCUAAAACAGGAAGACAUAGUAUAGCUUCCACAAGGAAUUGUUCUUCAGAAAGUGAAAAUUGUACUACUCAUAAUGGUGGAGAAAAGACUGAAGAAUCUGAAGGGCCAAACAUGGUGAUCCAUGUAUGUGAUGAAGCAAAAAACUUGAAAGAAGAUUUUAUUUGCCCACGAGAUCUUUUGAUAUCAGAAAUGAAGUACUUUGCUGAAUAUUUAUCUGUGGACGCCCAGCGCUGGGAAGAGGUGGACAUUUCAGUUCAUUGUGACGUUCACAUUUUCAACUGGUUGAUAAAAUAUGUUAAAAGGAACACUAAGGAGAAUAAAGAUUGUGAGAUGCCCACUUUAGAGCCAGGAAAUGUCAUUUCAAUUCUUAUUUCUUCAGAAUUUUUGAAAAUGGAUUCAUUAGUUGAACAAUGUAUUCAGUAUUGCCACAAAAAUAUGAAUGCCAUAGUAGCUACCCCAUGCAACAUGAAUUGUAUUAAUGCAAAUCUUCUUACACGUAUAGCUGAUCUAUUCACACACAGUGAAAUUGAUGAUUUAAAGGACAAGAAAGAUAAGUUUAGGAGUAAACUUUUUUGUAAGAAGAUUGAGAGACUGUUUGAUCCAGAAUACUUGAAUCCAGAUUCUCAGAAUAAUGCAGCAACAUUAUACAGAUGCUGUUUGUGUAAGAAACUUUUAACAAAAGAAACAGAAAGAAGAAUUCCUUGCAUUCCUGGAAAAAUCAAUGUGGAUCAACAUGGAAAUAUUAUCUACAUUCAUAUAAGAGAUAAGACUUGGGAUGUUCAUGAGUAUUUGAAUAGUCUUUCUGAAGAAUUAAAAUCUUGGAGAGAUGUAUAUUGGCGCUUGUGGGGAACAGUCAACUGGCUAACUUGUUCAAGAUGUUAUCAGGCUUUUCUGUGUAUAGAGUUUUCACAUUGUCAAUAUCACUCAGAAACAGUGAUUUAUCCUACUGCAGGAAGUUCGCUAAGUUCUGCUGGCACUGGAAUCUAUCCCUGCUGUAACCAAAAGGUUCUUCGGUUUGACCCCACUCAGCUUACAAAGGGUUGUAAAGUGAAGGACCACAUGGUGGUUCUUCGUGAUCAAGGUGAAGGUGAAGAUUUGCUGUCCUGCCCAACUGCCAGAAUACUGGAUGAUCUGCAUAAACACAAAGAUGUCAUUCUUGUGCCUUUUGCUAAAGAUACAGUCAGUGAUUCUGGUGGUCCCUGUGAUGAAAAGGGUCUAGACUGUGAUGUUUUACUGGAGCCAAAUACACCAUGGGGCCCCAAGAGUGGGGAGCUCAAUGCUUUCUUAUCACUGAAAAACUGGACACUGCAGCUGAAACAGCAGUCAUUAUUUUCAGAAGAAGAAGAAUAUACCACUGGGUCCGAGGUCACUGAAGAUGAAGUUGGAGAUGAAGAAGAAGUAUCCAAGAAACAAAGGAAAAAGGAGAAGCCAAAGAAAUUCACUAAACAACCAAAAAAGCAGAUGUCUUCACCCUGUGGUCAGAAGAAAGAAAAGGCAUUGGAGAAGGAAGGAGUAAAAAGCCAGUCAACUUCUAGAGAUGUGUCUCCUUUCAUUGUGAGUAUGCAGAAGAAUAAGUGGGAUGCCACAAGAUCCUUGAGAUUCAACCAAGAUGCACAAAGAGAAGAUGAUCAACGGCGGAUGUCUGAAAUUACAGGGCACCUAAUAAAGAUGAGAUUGGGUGAUCUGGACCGAGUCAAGUCAAAGGAAGCAAAAGAAUUUGCAGGAGGUAUUUAUUCCAGGCUCGAAGCACAAAUCAAGGCCUCAGUGCCAGUCAGUGCACGGCAAAGCAGCUCGGAGAAAAACACAAGGUCUAAAAGUCGUUUUGGUCAAGGUCGGCUUGCGUAAAGCACCUUAAACUAUAAGAAGACAGAAGACUCACCUCUGGACAUCUGAAAUUGCUCAUCACUUCUUGAAGGUCUUCAGAACGAUGACUUCUAAAUGUUUUAAGUUAUUUAUUAAUUAUUCUUGCAAGCCACAUAAAUCGUAGUGCUAAGAGAAAUAUAUAGUUAGGUCUUAUGAAAUCUAAUUGUAAAUAUGAAACUUUUUAAAUCUAAUUUUCCUUUGGUGUGAUGCUAGGCUUAUGUAGAAAAUUAGUAUUUACAAAUUUGCAUAGUUAAGGCUCCUAGUAUUUGUUAUCCUUUAUUUAUUUGAAAGAGAAGAGGUCUAAACUCUCAAGUAGCUAAGAAGUUUUUUAAGACCUUAAAAAUUAGGGGAACACAGCUGGUAGUGGUAUGGUACAUGUGCACUAAUUAUAGUAUGUCUUUUGGGCUGUAAAUCUUGGGAUAGCACUGAGAACUAUAGCCAGUCCAGUUCUUUUUUAAAUUUUAUUUAUUUAUUUAUUUUUGGCUGCGUUGGGUCUUUGUUGCUGCACGCGGGCUUUCUCUAUUUGUGGCAAGUGGGGGUUACUCUUCGUUGCGGUGCAGUGGCUUCUCUUUGUUGUGGAGCACAAGUUCUAGGCGCGCAGGCUCAGUAGUUGUGGCUCACAGGCUCAGUAGUUGUGACGUGCGGACUCUAGAGCGCAGGCUCAGUAUUUGUGGCACACGGGCUUAGUUGCUCCACAGCAUGUGGGAUCUUCCCUGACCAGGGCUCGAACCUGUGUCCUGUACAUUGUCAGGUGGAUUCUUAACCACUGCACCACCAGGGAAGUCCCUAGCCAGUCCAAUUCUAAUUGGCUAACUCUCUCAUUUAAAGCUGAUCUAUUGGGGAGGAUGAUAUGGGGAUAAUAUUAUUUCCACUUUUAUAGGACUGUUGCAGGGGCGGGGUAAAUGAUUUAGAGAUCUAAAACAGUUAGCACAGUAUUUUCUGGCUAAUCGUAAGGCCUCCAGAAAUGUUAACUAUUAUUAUUGUUGCACUGUGGGAUCUUAGUUCCCUGACCAGUGAUUAAACCCGGGCCCUUCGCAGUGAGAGUGUGGAGUCCUAACCACUAGACCACCAGGGAAUUUGCUGUUAUUUUAAUAUUUGGGAAGUGCCCUUAAAAGUCUUUAAGAUGGGAGAUUGAUAUCCCUCUUCCUAUAACUUGAGUUGCUAAGACUGAUGUGUGUUUGUUUAAUGCAAGAAAGAAAAGAGGCACAUAAUAAUUCAGUGGUUGCUGUGGCAUCAUUUGUUACUUUGUUAUACUAAACCUCUUGCCUCAUUUAAGCAGUGUAAACAGGAUUUGUAGGAAGAGGUAGGAAAACUGUUUCCUGCUGUGUGGUGGUGAGUGACCUGUGCUGUCUUCAAAGAGGUACUGAAGGAGAGAGUGAGGCUGCAGCAUGGUUUUAUAGCAGCUCUCCUUCCAAGAUUAUCUUUCCUUGAGAAAACGUAGCUAGUUGCGCUUUUACUACUUGUCUAUGACAAGAGUAGUUAUCAAACUGUAGAAGAGUGGUUGCUAAAUUAGUAGCUGCUGAGACUGCUGCUAGCUCUCUUAAGGUGCCUUAUCUCCUUCAGUCUCACCAUAAACCCCCAAAUCGGGUAUUAUCCCCAUUUUAUAGGUGGAGAAGAAAGUUCAGGGAGCUAAAGUAAUCCGCACACUGGGAUUGAAGUCUAGGUCUAUCAGCACAUUCCAACACCUUGAAACAAUUUUACCUUGGAUUACCUGAAACAUUUUCUCUUAGAGUGCCUCCUGGCUCACUGGCAGCUCCUUCAAACUGAAAACAAGUGAUCCCAGCUCACUCCCUGUGGUUCUAGCCUUGUUUAUCCAAGUGCCUACUUGAGAUUUGUAUUUGGAGUAUCAGUAGGUGUCUCCAACUUAACAUAAUAAAAGCAGGACUUGUGUUAUGUCUCCCCAACCCACCACCAACUCCCUGCUCGUUCAGUAAAUGGCACUACUGCCCACUCAAGUGCACAAGCUGAAUGUUUAGAAAUUCCUCAUUAUUCCUCUUUUUCCUUCACUCCCCACAUCCAAUUCAUCGGCAAGUCUGAUAUAAAACCUACAUCCAUUUGCUUCUCUCCAUCGCCAUAAUCCAUCACUCCAAGUUAUUAACAUCUCCAAGCCUCCUAAGUGAUUCCAGCUCCCACUCUAACCUCUGUGAUUCACAAAGCAACUACAGUACUUUUGAAAUGUGAAUCAGAUCACAUCACACUCCAGUAGCACCUCAUCAAACCUAGAAUAAAAUCCAACUUCCAUUGCCCGGGUUUACGAAGUCCCACACAGACUAGCCCCUGGCUGCCUCUCAGUCUCCUUUCCCCUCUUGCUACUACAUUCCAGUCACGUGGCCUACCUGCUCCUCCAAUAAGUAAGCUCAUUCCCACCAUUUAGUUCCUUCACAUUACUGUUCCCACUGUCUAGAAGCCUCCUUAUUAUAAUUCAGGUUUUAGGUUAGAUGUCAUUUCCUCACAGGAGGCAUUUCCAUGUCCCCAAUCUAAGGUAGCUACCCAAGUCACUCUCAUUACAUCAUCAUAGUUUAUUUCUGUACAAAUCACAAAUCUGACAUUAUUACAUCAUUAUUUUUUUCUUUUCUUUUUUUUCUUUAAGUCUUUAUUGAAUUUGGUACAAUAUUGCUUCUGUUUUAUGUUUUGGUUUUUUGGCCCCUAGGCAUGUGGGAUCCCGACCAGGGAUUGAACCCGCACCCCCUGCACUGGAAGGCAAAGUCUUAACCGCUGGACCACCAGGGAAACCCCUUCUUUCUUUCUUUUUUGUCUAUUGGUUUGCAAUUUGUCUUCCAUGCCAGAAAAUAAAAUGCAUCCAAAUAGGAAAAGAAGUAGGGCUUCCCUGGUGGCACAGUGGUUAAGAAUCCACCUGCCAAUUCAGGGCACACGGGUUCAAGCCCUGGUCCGGGAAGAUCCCACAUGCCGCGGAGUAACUAAGCCUGUGUGUCCCAACGACUGAGCCUGCGCUCUAGAGCCCGCGAGCCACAACUACUGAAGCCUGUGCACCUAGAGCCUAUGCUCCGCAACAAGAGAAGCCACUGCAAUGAGAAGCCCACGCACUGCAACAAAGAGUAGCCCCACUCACCACAACUAGAGAAAGGCCGCGCGCAGCAACGAAGACCCAACGCAGCCAAAAAUAAAUAAAUAAAUUAAAUUAAAAAAAAAAAGUAAAACCAUAUCUAUUCACAGACGACAUGAUCUUGUAUAUAGAAAAUCCCAAGAAAUCCACUAAAAGCUAUUAGAACAUAUAAUUAAGUUCAAGAUUUCAGGAUAUACAAUCAAUAUACAAAAAUCAAUUUAUUUCUAUAUACUAGCAAUGAAAAAUAUGAAUAUGAAAUUUUUUAAAAUUCCCUUUACAAUAGCAUCAAAAAGAAUAAAAUACUUAAGAAUAAAUUUCACAAAAGAAGUGUAAAAUGUGUACUCUGAAAACUACAAGAUAUCAUUGAAAGAAAUUAAAGAAGAUCUAAAUAAAUGGGAAGAUUAUCCCAUGUUCAUGGAUCAGAACACUUAAUAUUGUUAAGAUGGUAAUACCCCUCAACUUGAUCUACAGAUUCACCACAGUUCCUGUCAGAUUUCCAGCUGGCUUCAUUGUAGAAACUGACAAACCAAUCCUAAAAUUCAUAUGGAAACUCAAGGGACCCAGAACUGCCAAAACAAUUUUGAAAAAGAACAAAGGGUUCACUCUUUCUGAUUUCAACUCUUCCUACAAAGGUGCAGUAAUCAAGGCAGUGUAGUACUAGCAUAUGGACAGACACACAGAUCAAUGAAGCAGAAUUGAGAGUCCAGAAACAAACCCAGCUAUUUAUGGCCAACUGAUUUUCAACAAUAGUGCCAAGACCAUUCAAUGGGGAAAGAAUAGUCUUUUCUACAAAUGGUGCUGGGAAAAUGAUAGCUUCCUGCAAAGGAGUGAAGUUAGACCCCAUCUCACACUAUAUACACAAAAAUUGAUUCAAAAUGGUUCUAAGACCUAAUUGUAAAAGCAAACUGUAAAACUCUUCGAGGAAAACACAGGGGUAAAUCUUUACAACCUUGGAUUUAGCAGUGGAUACUUAGAUAAGACACUAAAAGCACAAGCAACAAAAGGAAAGAUAGAUAAAUUGGACUUUACCAAGAUUAAAAACAUUUGUGUUUCAGUGGGCACAAUCAAGAAAGUGAAAAGACAGCCUAUAGAAUGGGAGAAAAUAUUUACAAAUCACAUAUCUGAUAAGGGACUUAUAUCCAGAAUUUAUAAAGAACUCUUACAACUCAAAAUUUAAAAAAGACAACCCAGUUUUUUAAAUGGUAAAGGAUUUGAAUAGACAUUUCUCCAAAGAAGAUGGCCAUUUGGCCAAAACCACUUGAAAAGAUGCUCAACAUCAUUAGCCAUGAGGGAAAUGCAAAUGAAAACCAUGAGUUACCACUUCAUACCCAGUAGAAUAGCUAUCACCAAAAAGCCACCUAAUAAUGUGGCCAGGAAUGUGGCAAAAUUGGAAUCCUCAUGAACUCCUGGUGAGAAUGUAAAAUGGAGCAGCUAUUUUGCACUUUGCAAAGCAGUCUGGAAGUUCCUCAAAAGAAAUUAAACAUAGAGUUACCAUUUACCUACCAGUCUACCCUAACAGGUAUAUCAUUUUCUAUUUAGUGUCUUCUUGUGUUUACCUAUAUGCACAUAUCCAUGCACAGAACAGUAUUAUCUGCUUUU